CAGCCGCCGCGGGAAUACAGAGGGUGCGAGCGUUAAUCGGAUUUACUGGGCGUAAAGCGUGCGUAGGCGGCUUCUUAAGUCGGAUGUGAAAUCCCUGAGCUUAACUUAGGAAUUGCAUUCGAUACUGGGAAGCUAUAGUAUGGGAGAGGAUGGUAGAAUUCCAGGUGUAGCGGUGAAAUGCGUAGAGAUCUGGAGGAAUACCGAUGGCGAAGGCAGCCAUCUGGCCUAAUACUGACGCUGAGGUACGAAAGCAUGGGGAGCAAACAGGAUUAGAUACCCCAGUAGUCCCUGUCUCUUAUAC
rnacentral:rRNA from 1 species